CAGCAUUCUACUUGCUCUCUCUAUGAAUUUGACUCUUCUAGCUGACUCUCCAUAAGAAAAUAUCUGCGGCCUCUCUAAACCAUGCCUCAGAUUAGCACUUGGGUUCGUGCUUUCCCCUUUUCCCUUAUGCCUCCCUGUUGCUGCUGCAAAAUGCUGUUGCCCAAGACUUUGUGGGGGCCGCUGUGUGGACAUCUUGAAUCAAGAAUUUUCUAGGCUAAUUAUUUCAACCGACUAAGACUGUGGGGCAUUAAGGCUAUUGUUGGUGCUGUUAUUUGCUCUGAGAUAAAUGUUCUGUCCUGUUGCACUAUGUUCAAGAUCACUAAGGGAAGAUUUUCAACCCGAAGUGGUGACUUCAGAGCCACUGGGGACUCAGAGAAGGAACUGCUUCUCUCCAAAUCACUUGCCCCAGCAGCCUGCCAUUACUGCUGUUUCGGGGAAUUCUGCAAACAAGGCUAAUUUUGCAAG